rnacentral:rRNA from 1 species
CGUGCUUACACAUGCAGUCGAGCGGUAAGGCCCUUCGGGGUACACGAGCGGCGAACGGGUGAGUAACACGUGGGUAACCUGCCCUGUACUCUGGGAUAAGCCUUGGAAACGAGGUCUAAUACCGGAUAUGACACCGAUCCGCAUGGUUUGGUGUGGAAAGUUCCGGCGGUACAGGAUGGACCCGCGGCCUAUCAGCUUGUUGGUGGGGUAAUGGCCUACCAAGGCGACGACGGGUAGCCGGCCUGAGAGGGUGACCGGCCACACUGGGACUGAGACACGGCCCAGACUCCUACGGGAGGCAGCAGUGGGGAAUAUUGCACAAUGGGCGAAAGCCUGAUGCAGCGACGCCGCGUGAGGGAUGACGGCCUUCGGGUUGUAAACCUCUUUCAGCAGGGACGAAGCGCAAGUGACGGUACCUGCAGAAGAAGCACCGGCUAACUACGUGCCA